CGAAGCAACGCGAAGAACCUUACCAGGCCUUGACAUGCAGAGAACUUUCCAGAGAUGGAUUGGUGCCUUCGGGAACUCUGACACAGGUGCUGCAUGGCUGUCGUCAGCUCGUGUCGUGAGAUGUUGGGUUAAGUCCCGCAACGAGCGCAACCCUUGCCUUUAGUGCCAGCAGUUCGGCUGGGCACUCUAAAGGGGACUGCCGGUGUUAAACCGGAGGAAGGUGGGGAUGACGUCAAGUCCUCAUGGCCUUUAUGACCAGGGCUACACACGUACUACAAUGGCCGAUACAAAGGGCAGCGACACUGCGAGGUGAAGCCAAUCCCGUAAAAUCGGUCUCAGUCCGGAUUGGAGUCUGCAACUCGACUCCAUGAAGUUGGAAUCGCUAGUAAUCGUGGAUCAGCAUGCCACGGUGAAUACGUUCCCGGGCCUU
rnacentral:rRNA from 1 species